UGCAAGUCGAACGAUGAAGCCCUUCGGGGUGGAUUAGUGGCGAACGGGUGAGUAACACGUGGGCAAUCUGCCCUUCACUCUGGGACAAGCCCUGGAAACGGGGUCUAAUACCGGAUAACACUUCCUGCCGCAUGGUGGGGGGUUAAAAGCUCCGGCGGUGAAGGAUGAGCCCGCGGCCUAUCAGCUUGUUGGUGGGGUGAUGGCCUACCAAGGCGACGACGGGUAGCCGGCCUGAGAGGGCGACCGGCCACACUGGGACUGAGACACGGCCCAGACUCCUACGGGAGGCAGCAGUGGGGAAUAUUGCACAAUGGGCGAAAGCCUGAUGCAGCGACGCCGCGUGAGGGAUGACGGCCUUCGGGUUGUAAACCUCUUUCAGCAGGGAAGAAGCGAGAGUGACGGUACCUGCAGAAGAAGCGCCGGCUAACUACGUGCCAGCAGCCGCGGUAAUACGUAGGGCGCAAGCGUUGUCCGGAAUUAUUGGGCGUAAAGAGCUCGUAGGCGGCUUGUCACGUCGGAUGUGAAAGCCCGGGGCUUAACCCCGGGUCUGCAUUCGAUACGGGCUAGCUAGAGUGUGGUAGGGGAGAUCGGAAUUCCUGGUGUAGCGGUG
rnacentral:rRNA from 1 species